GAAGCUAUAAGCGAUGAGGCUCGCUAUACAACCGCUAAAACUCCUUUAGCUGAUAGCUUCUACAAAUUU
rnacentral:ncRNA from 2 species